rnacentral:lncRNA from 1 species
CCUGGUAUCUAAUCACCACAAUCAACACUUCAAACAAUUAAAAUCCUAGGAAACCAUAUUUAAGGAUGCUAGAAGUCAGAAGAAUAUGCAUUUUGGUAUUUUUUACUCCUUGAUUGCUAAAACAUAUACAUACAUGCACAUAUAUGUCUGUAUAUGUAUGAAUAUUUAUCUAUUAUAUUUCUACAUAAUUUAAACUCUGAAAGAUUCUAGAUUCUGUUCAUAAAGCCCUGCAUCAGAGGUUUCAUGUGUGUCAUACUC